CUGACCUCAAAUCAGGUAGGACUACCCGCUGAACUUAAGCAUAUCAAUAAGCGGAGGAAAAGAAACUAACAAGGAUUCCCCUAGUAACUGCGAGUGAAGCGGGAAAAGCUCAAAUUUAAAAUCUGGCAUGCCUUCGGCUGCCCGAGUUGUAGUCUGGAGAAGUGUUUUCCGUG
rnacentral:rRNA from 1 species